rnacentral:lncRNA from 1 species
UCAGGAGAAUCAGUAUCAAUACAUACCAUGUCCAAGAAAGGAAGAAGAACAUGAGGAUUAUUAGUAAGCAAAGGGUGGUUUUCUUUAGGAUUAGGAAAACGAACUCGGUUCAUCAAAGCAAAGGUUAGUGCUUUUAACCAAGUUGUGCCUGAUUUAGGAGUAGUAAUAAGGAAGAUAUCGCUUUCUUGAGCUUGAAAAUGGUUUUGACAAGUUACAACACCUUUUAGUAGCCUAGUUGAAUGCCAAAACCCUUGGUAUUGAUGGAGAUGAUUUGCGACCCAACCCUUUUCAGUUGGUAGGGAGACUAUGAAGUCUCUAAAAUCUUGAGAAAAUUCUUUUUAUUGCAAGUAAGCAGCAAGAGAUUCAAGUGUUUGCAUGGUUGUAGUAAAUUAUGGUCUAUAGUUAUUAUUUUCUUUGUGUUGUUCUUGGUUUGGUUAUGUAUGUAUAUACACAGCGGUUCCCAUUUGCAAUAUAUAUAAAAAUUACUAUAAUAUAUAAUAGUAAAUUACAAUUUAGUCUUUAAGGUUUGAUUAUAUCACAACUUCCAUCUCUCUUGUAAUGUUGCUUGAAUCGUAGAAAUAUUGACAAUAUUUUUUUAUCUAAAAAAUUAAAAUAUUAUACACACACAUAACCUAAGCGAUUUUAUGGAAUUAAAAAAAACCAACAAGCUCUGAACAAAUCUAGGUUAGGUUAAUAAUACAAAAUCAGACAAAUUUAUGUCUCUAUGAAUAUUUAAAAUUCAUGAAAAUUAUAUUCUAAAGUCCCAUUUCUGCAUUGUAUAUUGUAAUCCACUCUCAGCUACUUAUAGACACACUAGCAUCAUCAGGUGUAUAUAUAUAUAAUUUUCAAAUUAAAGUGCCACUAAUUGUUGAAUUAUUGCAUCCUCAAAAAAUAAAAAAUUGUUGAAUGAAGACAUAAUUGUACAUAAUAAUUAAUAAAGAUCCAAAGACGGUACAUUCGUAUUUAUAAUAAUUGACAAUGCAGCAGAAAAUGUAAACAAAUAUAAGCAAAACAACAAAUUCAUGGCUACUAAUACUACAAGAAAAAGAGGCAACAUUAUGCUUAUACUUGGAAAGAGAGUACCCUCAGUCAUAGUAAUAAGCCAGGGCAAUUUAUAUACAGAGUGAUAAUUAAAUAAUAUUAUAUUAUUAUUAUUAUUAUUAUUAUAAAUACCUUCUUUCCUUCGCAAGCAAUUUUUAUUACAUAUCAAUCUACAAGCAAAACAACCAUUGAUUAAUCUAAAUUCGUAUUUUAAAUGUUUUCCUUGUGUUGUUUUUGGUUUUGGUUAUGUGUUUAUAUACAGAGUGAUUCUCAUUUGCAAUAUAUAUAUAUAAAUUUCUCAAUAUAUAAAGGUAAGUAACUAUUUAGUCCCUCAAUUUCAAUCAUAUUAUAAUUUCAUCUCUCAUAUUUGGUAAAUAAAUAACCCUUUAAAAUUUUAGUUUCAUUAAACUAUUUAGUUUUUCUAUUUAAAAAAGUACUUAUUCAGAAGUUAAAUAUCUCGUACUACUUUUGAUUACUUGGUUAUUCAUUUUUAAUAUACUUUUACUAUUUAGUUUCUCACAUUUACUAUUGUAUUACAAUCUAGUCCUUCACUUAAUGGUACAAAUAGCACUUUUUGGAUGAAGAACUAUAAAUAGUUUAAUAGAACUAAACUAGGGAUGAAAUAAUAAUUACAAUCUUCUCUCUUUCAAUUUUAGUUAUCCUUUGUUACUUAUCAAUCCACUCUCAAUGAAUUAUAAUCAUUCAACUCAAUAAGAUGUUAACAUUGCUUAAAAUUUUUUAUUUUUAGUUUUUAAUUUCAUUAAAUGCUUCUCAAAAGUCAAAAUACAUAAAAUUUGAAAGUUUUGUAAAUUUUGGAAGAGCAAGAUGGACCAGGCCAGGCCCAAAUUAGGUGGGGCUUCUUGGGAUUUAGGCCUCGAUUGAGCCUUAGCUGUUACUUAAUGGUGAAAAUAACACUUUUGGAUGAAUAAUUAUAAAUAGUUUAAUAAAACUAACUUUAAGAUUAAUUAAUAUAUUUAUCAGGGACGUAAUAAUAAUUAUGACCAACUAUUAGUUAUUUAUUCUAUAAAUGUGAAAUUCCACCCCACUCAUUCUUAGGUAUCUAUCUCUAUUUUGUCAGGACAUCUUGCUGAUAGUGAGCCAAGCACCUAAGCUUUGCUAAUUAAUUAUUGUGGUCUUAUUUAGUAAUUUGAUAAUAUUUUUUAUCUAAAAAAUGAUUUUAUUCAUUAAAAAACAAGAUUUGUAUGCACACAUAUAAGCAAGAAUAAGUAAAAAUUUUUAAGUCAUGACCUAAGGGAUACUAUUAAAAUUAAAACGAACUGACUACAUCCAAAUAAAUCGAAUUAUGUUAGAUUUUUUUUUUUUUGAAUAUUAGGAGAGCAGAUUCGAACAUGAAUCUAUUGUCAGAUCAUAAAUACACUUACUCUUAAAUUAUAUCUUGAUGUACCGAAUUAAGUUAGAUCAGCAAUAUAAUAAAGCAAUAGUAAAAUAAGACAAAUUAUGUCUAUUAAUACUAAAAAUUCUAGAAAAUUAGAUACCUCUCUUCUUCUCUAUAUAUAUCUAUCUAUAGUAGCUUGAUAAAAAAAAUAUCUACCAAUUUCACUUAAAUUAAUCAACUUAUGUGCAGCUUGAUUUCCUUUACGAAAAAAAUGCAAGAUAGUAUCUUAUCAUUCACUGUGUAGGAACUGAUGAAUACUAUCAUUAUUGUCUUUUGUAACUUGAAAGUAAUUAGAAAGUUGAUUAGCAUAUUAAACACAUUAAAAUUAUACUUUUAAAAAAAUAAUUUACUUGGAAGUGCACUUCUCAUAAAGUAUUCUUCUUGGAAAAUAGAUUGUUUGAAAUCAAACAAGGCCUUUGUUUUCACCACCCAACUUUCCUAAGCAUCUUAGUAUUCUGGAAAAUACUUAUUUAGACCGGAUUUAUAAUUACAUCUUAAAUCCUUUUUGUGUGAUUUAGCAUGUAAAUGGAAGAAUAUUUAAUUAUUUAUUCUAUCUUUUUUGUGUAUCAAAAACCUUUAAUGGAAAGUGAUAGUUGUUCCAGAAGUCGUACUAUACUGUUAUAUAAUGAGAUCAAAUUAAAAUUAAAAAUUUCACAAAUUGGUCAAUUAAUUUUAUAGUGCUUUUUUAAGUAUCUCGAAGAUUAAAAAUGUUGCUAUAUGAUUAUUAAUUAUUUUCAAGCAAUUUUUUUUUUUUUUACAUUGUUUGCUAUUUGAUGACUUUUAGUGAUUAAUCAAUUUAAUCAUUUUAUAAUAAUCACCAUGUUAAUUAGCCUUGCAAAAUUACAGAAACCCUAAUAUUGGCUUAUUAUCCACUAGCAAAUGAAUAAUUAAACUGGAAAGUUAACAAUGAUAAUUCAAUCAUUUAGAAAAUUUUAAUUAAAUAUUAUUUUCUUUUCAAAUGAAGAUAUUAUUGUACAUAAUAAUUAACAAAGAUCCAAAGAUGGUACAUUCGUAUUUAUAAUAAUUGACAAUGCAACAGAAAAUGUAAACAAAUAUAAGCAAAACAACAGAUUCAUGGUUACUAAUACUUCAAGAACAAGAGGCAACACUAUGCUUAUACUUAGAAAGAGAGUACCCUCAAUCAUAGUAAUAAACCAGGCAACUUUUCUUUAGUGAUGUGGUCCAAUUUUUCCAUCAUCUCAUUUGUCAGGUAAUUCUUGUAAUCUCCUAUCACACCCCGCCGGAAAAAGACGCUAUUUUCCUGGCCGGACGGUAAUUUUCCGAUUUUGUUCACCUCUAAAUUGCUCAAAUUAUCAAAACUACACAAAUUUAAGAUUUCAUCAAUUACUCCGCAAUUUUCUUCUUCUUUUGAAAAUGGACACUUUAAAAAUUCAGAUAAUUUCUUUAAAUGGAAUUUAGGAUCUUUCUUCAAAUCUUCAUAUUUCAAAAACAAAACCCUUUUAGGAUUUUCCAAACUUUGCUUCCAAUACCCCAAAACAUGAUCCCAAAAUGGCCCAUAAAAACUCAGACCUCUACAAAACUUAUCAAAAGCAUCUUCAAGUGAAUUUUCACCUUUGUCUUUAGGCCUUAACCUAUUUGUAAAAUGAUAAAAAGAAAUAAAAGUGUCUUUGGUGUUUCUACACAAGUAAACAAUCUUACAGCCCAAGUCUUCCACAGAUUUUGGAAGAGACGAAAGCGGCAAAUGGGUAGAAAACAAUCUUGGAGAGGUAAAACUAGAAAAAUCAGGAGAAUCAGUAUCAAUACAUACCAUGUCCAAGAAAGGAAGAAGAACAUGAGGAUUAUUAGUAAGCAAAGGGUGGUUUUCUUUAGGAUUAGGAAAACGAACUCGGUUCAUCAAAGCAAAGGUUAGUGCUUUUAACCAAGUUGUGCCUGAUUUAGGAGUGGUAACAAGGAAUAUAUCACUUUCUUGAGCUUGAAAAUGGUUUUGACAAGCUAUAACACCUUUUAAUCUCCUAGUUGAUGGAUACC